CCUACGGGGGGCUGCAGUGGGGAAUAUUGCACAAUGGGCGGAAGCCUGAUGCAGCAACGCCGCGUGCGGGAUGACGGCCUUCGGGUUGUAAACCGCUUUCAGCAGGGACGAAGCGUGAGUGACGGUACCUGCAGAAGAAGCACCGGCUAACUACGUGCCAGCAGCCGCGGUGAUACGUAGGGUGCGAGCGUUGUCCGGAUUUAUUGGGCGUAAAGAGCUUGUAGGCGGUUGGUUGCGUCGAAAGUGCAAACUCAGGGCUUAACUCUGAGCCUGCUUUCGAUACGGGCUGACUGGAGGAAGGUAGGGGAGAAUGGAAUUCCCGGUGGAGCGGUGGAAUGCGCAGAUAUCGGGAGGAACACCAGUGGCGAAGGCGGUUCUCUGGACCUUUCCUGACGCUGAGAAGCGAAAGCGUGGGGAGCAAACAGGCUUAGAUACCCCAGUAGUC
rnacentral:rRNA from 1 species